AAUAUUUGACAAUGGGGGCAACCCUUACCCAGCCACCCCGCGUGUGUGAAGAGGGUCAUCGGAUGUUAAAGCCCUUUAAGUGGGGACGAAGGGCUUUAGGCUAAUACCCUUAAGAUUUGACUUUGCAUACAGAAUAAGCACCGGCUAGCUAGGUGCCACCAGCCGCGGUAAUACGGAGGGUGCAAGCGUUAAUCGGAAUUACUGGGCGUAAAGGGCGCGUAGGUGGUUCAGUAAGAUGGGUGUGAAAUACCCGGGCUUAACCUGGGAAGUGCUGUCAUAACUGCUGAGCUAGAAUACAGUAGAGGGUAGUGGAAUUUCCUGUGUAGCGGUGAAAUGCGUAGAUAUCGGAAGGAACAUCAGUGGCGAAGGCGACUACCUAGACUGAUACUGACACUGAGGUGCGAAAGCGUGGGGAGCAAAC
rnacentral:rRNA from 1 species